AUGACUUACCUCUCCAUCAUUAAUGCUACAGCUGACAUCAAUAUCUUGCAGCUGGGGAAGGUAGGACAACUUCCUCAGGAGAGUCUGAAUGUCUUGCUCGAAACCCACCUGCCAGAGCUUACACCUGAGCAUCCCACAUCUCACUGGAAGCAGAAAGGUCCAUGCUGGCUGGUUCAAUCAAGUUUGCUGAGGAAAGAUCCAACACAGGGUGAAGAGUUCAGCUGGACCUCAGAAAUAUCCAGGGAGAAGACACUCCUGAAGGUCUUGGAAAACAGAAUUUCCUCAAAAUGGAGGAAACUGUCUCUGUUUCAGGAGAGAGUCAAUGGAUCUGUCAGGGCAGCAGUGGGAAGGAGGUCCCUCCAAACCAUCAUCCUGUCAUGUAAUUUUUUCACCUGCUUCACGGGCUCUUCAUUUUUUCAUCUCCUACCAUCAGUACCAAGCAUGAAAUAUGUGGCUUUUAGGAGAGUCUCUGAACUCAAGAGCUCCUGUUAUGGAAACAGGGAAAUUAAGACAAUUAAAGAACGCAACCACCAGGCAAGAAAUUUACAGUGA
rnacentral:lncRNA from 1 species